rnacentral:rRNA from 1 species
AGUGAACGCUGGCGGUAGGCCUAACACAUGCAAGUCGAACGGCAGCACAGUAAGAGCUUGCUCUUACGGGUGGCGAGUGGCGGACGGGUGCGGAAUACAUCGGAAUCUACUUUUUCGUAGGGGAUAACGUAGGGAAACUUACGCUAAUACCGCAUACGACCUACGGGUGAAAGCAGGGGAUCUUCGGACCUUGCGCGAUUGAAUGAGCCGAUGUCGGAUUAGCUAGUUGGCGGGGUAAAGGCCCACCAAGGCGACGAUCCGUAGCUGGUCUGAGAGGAUGAUCAGCCACACUGGAACUGAGACACGGUCCAGACUCCUACGGGAGGCAGCAGUGGGGAAUAUUGGACAAUGGGCGCAAGCCUGAUCCAGCCAUACCGCGUGGGUGAAGAAGGCCUUCGGGUUGUAAAGCCCUUUUGUUGGGAAAGAAAAGCAGCAGGUUAAUACCCCGCUGUUCUGACGGUACCCAAAGAAUAAGCACCGGCUAACUUCGUG